CACGGUGUAUUGUAGGAAGCCUAGCACGGUGUAUUGUAGGAAGCCUAGCACGGUGUAUUGUAGGAAGCCUAGCACGGUGUAUUGUAGGAAGCCUAGCAUGGUGUAUUGUAGGAACCCUAUCACGGUGUAUUGUAGGAACCCUAUCACGUGUAUUGUAGGAAGCCUAUCACGGUGUAUUGUAAGAAGCCUAUCACGGUGUAUUGUAGGAAGCCUAUGAU
rnacentral:lncRNA from 1 species